rnacentral:lncRNA from 1 species
UGUGAGGCAACGGGGAGCUUACACUCCAAGAGAUAAGGUGAAACUGUUUCAGUAGACAGCUAGGAGACAGCCAGGGACUCAGCAACCUUAUCAGAGCCAAACCUGAGAGGCAAGGUUAUGUCUACGACAUGAGUUCACACCUGUUGGCCACUGUGGACCAGCAGCAGGUAGUCCUGUCUCUGUGGCCCAUGUGAACACAGUGUCGUUUGUCCAGCAUUUAGCUGCCCAGGAUGCACUGACCUGGAUCUGUGCUGGCUUUUAGGAAGCAGCGGGCUGGAUCGCUGCCACCGGGACCUCAGAAAGCAAAUGCCCUUCAAGACGUCAGGGUCUGCUGUAUGAGAGGAGCCACAGAGAACAGAGACACCACCCAGAUCCACAAGAAGAAGGAGAGACCCCUCUGGCUCAUCAAGAACCCUGGUUUACUGGGAGCUCCUUCCUGUUGACCUGUAGGAUCCUUGUAUGUGCUCUUGCAGGGGAACUUCUGGACACCGUCAUGGAGGACAGACUCCCAGUAUGCAGACAGACAGACUCCUCCGUGAGCCUUCUUGUUCCUGUAGAUAAUGGUGCUGUCCCAAAUGUGUCCAGUCCCCAAGAGCAAAAUGAUGUGAGUGGGAAGACGGCCUCCCAGCUCUACCUGCUCUCUGGGGCUGGCACUCCGCCCUUCUGUACAGAACCUUCCGUGCCUCUCCCGAUGCCCUUCCUGCCACCUCAGAAUCCACCAUCACCCCCAUCCCCGGUCUCUGUAGCCCAGAAGAAACCAUGUGACUUAAAGACUGCAUGUGUCACCCCAUGGAGAGAGUCACCUGACCAGCCUGGAGCACUACUGGAUCUCAGCUGUUUCUGAAGAAUCCUUUCUAUUCUCUCCUGAUGGACCAGAAAGAGCAAAUAAAGAAAGAGGUGAGCAAGGGUCACCAAGGCACCUCAUCUGACCUGGGGAGGUCUGAUACCCACCAUGUCGUGUAACUUCUCCCCCAUGUGGUUCUUGUGAACUUGAGAGUGUUCAGAACUCUUUAUGUGAUGUUUCAGUAAUACCUGUAUCCCCCCCCCCACUGGUCCAAAGGCUGUAAAUAGGCACAAGAGGGACUCAUUUGUCAACACUGUAACAUCUCCCCUGUCCAGACCCACAGUGACAGCUUGGUAAUGUACGGGAAUGGAUGAAGGAGCCAUGCUCUUCAUGCACAGGAGAGAGAAGAAUUUAACCUGUCACCACAUCCUGGGGGUGAACACCUCAAUCUUUUAGGGACAUUUGUUACCUGGGGUCACUGUCUGGACCACAGGUUUCCAGGUUCUGGCUCCACGGUUAAAGAAUUGUAGAAGAAAAUACAGAGCGGAAAGUUGCAAGGAACCUUAUUCAAGAGAGCAUGAUGGGGGUUAUUCACUUUCCUGGCUGCUUGCAAAAGCCUGGAAGGAGAGCCCUGGCCACCACUCCCUGCGCACUAGAGAGGCUCUCAUCUCCAGACGCUGUGAGUGUUGAGGCAGGAUGAGCACUGAGAAAGCCUCUUCCACAGUUUUGACAGAGAACUGGCUAAAAGGGGUGUAGCUGAAACUAGCCAAUCAGGUAACAUUACGCUUCUAGAAAAAUCUUAAAGGAAAAAUACUCCAGGAAACAGCACAGCUGUGGGGUGACAGAAAGGAUAGAGACCUUGGGCCAAAUGUGUGAAAGUCUGAGACAAAGUUCUUCCCAGAGGCUCCAAUGGCAACCAACAUGGCUCCAAUGACAAGAGUUAUUGCUCAUUUAGAGCUGGUGAUAUUCUUGGACAUGAAGCUGCCCUUUUCACUGGGGCUCUGACAUAUUUCAUCAUGUAGGUCAUCCCCAUGCCUCCCUUUCAUAAUGAACUGAUGAUAGGCAAACUAAUGAGGAGAACGGGAACCGUGCAGAUCAGAUGCGCUACAAAGAGAGCUGGAAGCUCCGUGGGUUAAGCUAUUCAGGGGACCCAGGUGACUCUCCAGAGCCUUCCUUUAUGAGCUCUCAAAGGAGGAGCAAGGGGUGUACUCAGGAUAGUGCUGCAAAAUAUUCCUUUACACCGUGUGAAGAUGUGUCACUGUGAUUGGUUUAAUAAAGAGCUAACUGGCCAGUAGCUAGGCAGGAAGCAGUUAUGCAGGACUUCUGGAGACAGAGAGGACUGGGAGAGGAAGAAAGGUGGAGUCACCAGCCAGACAUGGAGAAAUCAGCAUGAGCAGUAUGGAGAGAUGAGCUUACAAGCUAUGCAACAGAAAAUAGGUUAAGAUAAAUGAAUUAGGUUAUAAGAGCUAAGGCCAAGCUUUCAUAAUUAAUAAGUCUUCGUGUUAUUAUUUGGGAGCUGGCAUUACAGAGAAAAACUGGCUGCAUAUGGUGUACAAUGUGGGGGCUUGAAUAUCCAAACAUAGGGCCUGAGAAAGCUAAGAAAAGUUCUGGAGAAGGAGCCAGAUGUAGCUUCUUAGUCCUGCAGUCUCUCAGGUGGGCUUAUGCUCAGUGUCAUACAGAGGUGUGGCUACCGGUUGCUGUCUUGGGGCGGGGGGAGCACAGGGACAGGACACACACGACACAACCAGCCACCAGUGCCAUGAGCUAAGCUGUGUCUUGCAGAGACUGACAUGACAGUUUAAGAUUUGUCUCAUGAGGUCAGAGAAUGCUGCAGCUGCUUAGUAAAGCCAGAUCCAGACACAGAAAAUAUCUAAAAAGGUGCAUUGUGUUUGAAAAUGUGCUCAGUGUUAAAGAAAAAAAAAAGAAAAUUGGCUUAGACAGUCAUAGAAAAAAUAUAGUUUAAAAGUAAUAAAGUCUUUAAAGAGAAAAAUAAUAUUUUAAAAAGCCACGUAAAGAUAGAAAUACAGAGGGUGUUUUGUUGACUGUAUUUGGUCUUCUUACUCCUUGGGGCCCACCACCCAGCUCUCAAAUAAGUAAACAGAGACUUAUUCUUAGUUAUGAAUGCCCGGUCUUAACUUGUCUUGUUUCUAGCCAGCUUUUCUAACUUAUCCAGUUUCUCUUUAACUACAUUUCACUUCUGGGUUUUUUAACCUUUCUUUAUUUGGUAUAUCUUUCUUCCCUUCUUGUUCCAUGGCUGUGUGACUGUGUCACUGAGUGGCUGGGUGACUGGGUGACUAUCUGUGUGGCUGGGUGACUGGGUGGCUAUCUGUGUGGCUGGGUGACUGGGUGGCUAUCUGUGUGGCUGGGUGACUGGGUGGCUAUCUGUGUGGCUGGGUGACUGGGUGGCUAUCUGUGUGGCUGAGUGGCUGGGUGGCUGGGUGGCUAUCUGUCUGUGUGGCUAGAUGGCUGGGUGGCUAUAUGGCUGAGUGGCUGUGUAGCUGGGUGGCUGUGUGGCUGAGUGGCUGGCCCCUGGCAUCCUCCUCUCCUCUUUUUCUCGAUCCUAACCCUCUUCCUAUUUAUUCUCUCUGCAUGCCAGCCACACCUAUCGUUUCUCCUGCCUAGUUAUUGGCCAUACAGCUCUUUAGUAAGCCAAUCAGGGAUUUAGGCAUGCAAAGUAACACAGCUUUACAGAGUUAAACAAAUGCACCAUUGAAAAAAUGCAACGUAUCUUUGCAUCAUUAAACAAAUACACUACAGCAGAAAAAAUGUAAUGCAUCUUAAACUACUAUUCACAACAGUUAACUUUGAGUUAUUAUAGAGAACUGUAGUUGCUUAGAGACAUUGGAUUGUGGAAGGAACUGCUGGAUUAAACCAGUCUAUAUACUUUAAGGAUAUCUUGGCUUCAAAAUGGAGUCAGACAAUGUGUUGCUUUGGUGGGGAGGUUAUGCUUUUGUUUCCAUGGGAAACAAAAAGCUAUGGAUUCUUUCAAAGUCAAUUGAGAUCAGAUUUGAGCAGGGAAGACCUCCUGAGGCUCUUGGCUAUUAUGAUAUGAGAGAAAUGAGAUAUGAUAUGAUUUGAUACAACGGGAAAAGGGAAGAAAGACUACAAGACAGGUGAUGUAUUAAGCUGAUCCCUCCACAUGGGAACAGCUCUGAGACUUGGUGAGACAUGAUAAAUCUUAUUAGUUACAGAGUCCUCAUGACUUAUUAUUACACAUUAUCCUUUCAUAUGGCAUGGAUGGAAAUUUAUAUUACAGUUUGGUUAUGCAGUCCAAACAGACUUAUAGAGCUAACAGAUGCCUUUUGCCUACUCAAACAUAAAACAAAAAAAUCAUCUUUAACUUACUUGUACCCACUGUACAUUCCAUACUUAGGUUAAUGCAGAGAUAUAUGUGACCUUUUCUCUUUUUUUGGUUUUUCGAGACAGGGUUUCUCUGUGUAGCUUUGGAGCCUAUCCUGGAACUAGCUCUUGCAGACCAGGCUGGUCUCGAACUCACAGAGAUCCUCUGCCUCUGCCUCCAGAGUGCUAGGAUUAAAGGCAUGGGCCACCAACCCUCAGCAUAUGUGACCUUUAAAAGUUUGUGUGUUUAAAAAAGAGACCAGACACCAAUAAAGACAAGUAGGCCAGGUGAUCCAGCCUCUCAGAAUGCCUCUGUUGCAGUUUCCUCAAAAUUUUACAUCCAUAACAUCUUCCAAGCUGCUCCUGAGAUGGUCCAGCCUCACACAAUACCCAAGGCAGGACUUCUGACAAGCCCUGCACUUUCCUAUCACACAGACUGGAUAACAAGUGACACAGCUAGCUCUCCCAGGACUUGACUAUUAUCCCAAUUUUCUCAGGGUCCCCUAAAGAUGCCGUCACCCCCCAGACAACAGGAAGCAGUCUAGAGAAUAUGGUGAGUGGGUUUUGGUCAUUCAAUGAGUUAUGGAUAUUAUUCAUCCUUUAGGGGGGUGGUUGCAAUUUGUUAUUGGUCAUAGAAAAAACUGAACAAAGGAGAUUAGAUUCAGAGAUUAGAAUCUGAAGGGAAAAUAAGGGAUAUAGUAUAGAAAUGAUGGGAUAAAGGGUGGAUUGCCAAAUCUAUUUUUGAAUAACCACUAGUCUCAAAUAUUUUACACUGAUAUAGAUUUUGGUAUAUUGAUAUAAAUUUAAGGUUAUUUUUAUUAUACUGUAUAUAUGUUUCUACUCUUGUUUAGGGUAUUGUGCCUAUGCAGUUCAUUUUAAAAUGUAAUGUAAAGUUUUAGUCCUUGAAAGCCAUUUAGGGUAAUAAAAAAGACCAAUUAAUAGUCAUCUAUAAAAAAUCAAACUUAUAGUCAUAUGAGGUAUGUUUUCAAGGUCAAACAGAGAUAUAUUUUAAAUAGAUAGAUGGCCUGUAAGCACUUCAAAGAUCUACAGAAUAUAGUAUUUAAGAUGUUUUAAUAGCAUAAGGCUUUUCAUGACAAUGAUACAAGUUUGCUCCUGGAAGCACUAAUCUACUUCAGAGACGAUGAUGUGCACUGAAGAAAGUUUGCUUUCCUUUGUGGCAAAGUUAGUCACUGGGCAAUAAACUGUACUUGCUUCAACUGCUGACAUCAUGCUGUCCAAAUUGGACAAGCAGAACACAAAGGAAGGCAACUGCUGAACUUUACCAAGACAAGGUAGGACAGUCCUUCAAAAUCCUGUUUCACAGAAAGUCUUGUCGGAUAUGCUAGGCCGGUGGGCUGAAGAUGAAUGACCCAAUGUUUCAGAGGAAACUUGGGUGAUGGCCCAAGCAGUCAGCUGCUUCUGUCAUUUCUACCGUUUUGGAAGUUGCUUGCUCUGCACUUCCUGUUUACUCAGAUAAUAUUAAAUCCUUCUUGGGUCUCUGAUGGAGUUCAAGAUGAGAUAGUUAUAGUUACAGUUAUAGUUAUAGUUUUCUUUGUUACCAAAUUCAGAAAAAAAACUCACAAGAGGUGUAAAGUGCAAGGAUGACCCCAGCUAAGACUCCUAGCAAGAGUGGAGAGGGUAAGUGAACUGGCCUUUCCCUGUAAUCAGAUUGGUGACUACCCCAACUGUCACCAGAGACACUCUAUCCAGUAACUGAUGGAAGCAGAUGCAGAGAUCCUCAGCCAAGCACUGGGUAGAGCUCCAGGAGUCCUCUUGAAGAAAGGGAGGAGGGAUUUUAUGAGCCAGUAGGAGGGGCCAGUGUCAUAGUCAUGACAGAGGAACCUACAGAGACUGCUGACCUGAGCUCACGAGAACUCAUGGACUCUGAACCAACCGUUAGGGAACCUGCAUGGGACCGACCUUAGAUCUCUGCAUGUGUGUGACAGUUGUAUAGCUUGGUCUGUUUCUAUGGCUCCUAGCAGUGAGAUCAGGACCUGUCCCUGGCCCUUAGCUGGCUUUUCGGAACCUGUUCCACAUGAUAAUUACCUCACGCAGCCUUUAUGCAGGGGGAGGAACUUGAUUUCACUUGAUGUGGAAUGUUUCAGUCAAGCCCACGGGAGGCCUGCUCCUUUCUGGAUGGAGAUGAAGGAGAAGUGGAUGGGGAGAGCGGUAGAUGGGAGUGGAGGCAGAGGAAUGGGAGGAGAAGAGGGAGCAGAACUGUGGUAAAUAUGUAAAAUAAAUGAAAAAAUGUUAAUUAAAUGAAGUAAUUUUUUAAAAAGAAAAAAAGAGGUAUAAAGUGUUAUAAUGUUAAGAGACAUAAAAGCUCAAAUUGUUUAUUUAAGAAAUGUUUUGAGGUCUAAAAAGAUAGUUUUUGGGUUGGUAAUACAAGUUAGGACAGAAAUGGGCUGGGAAUAAAACUUUAAUUUCAUCAAGAUAGAUAAUAGAGUAUUUUCUCUGAAUAUGCCAAAUACAAAUGGACUGGCC